AAAGAGCCCUACAUCGAAGGUCUAGCGAACCACGAUGACCCCGAGUCAUGCGUCGGCGUCCGCGAGGACGCAGGCGAAGCGUUGACAGGGGCACGUGCAGGCCAGGCUAUUGAGGCGCGUAAUCAGAGAAUUCGAGGUGCCGACGCUGUCUAUGGAAGCGGAAGGCAACACCACCGCUAGCGCUAUCGCAAGUUGCUUGUGGGCCCCGCGCGGUCAGAGAACC
rfam:Acidithrix ferrooxidans strain Py-F3 AXFE_contig000023, whole genome shotgun sequence.